GGCUUUUUGUUUGUGGAGAGAAACUUUGCGCAAAGGAAAUGGGUCCGAUCGGCAACUUAAAUCAUAAAAGGUUUAGCUCCCGGCUGACCAGGUCCACCUGCGUUCGCUCCGAGUCUGGGAGGACCACCAGGUCCUCUUCCCUACAAAGAGAGCUCACUUGCCACUUGAACUACCCCAUAGGAUUAGGUUUACUGUGAACAUUAAAUUUACAUUUGUACAAGAAAUAUUGUUCUGAUUCUAAUUUCACAUAUACAUAUAUGAAACAAUUUAUUUAGAAAA